rnacentral:rRNA from 1 species
AUUGAACGCUGGCGGCAUGCCUUACACAUGCAAGUCGAACGGCAGCACGGGAGUAAUCCUGGUGGCGAGUGGCGAACGGGUGAGUAAUAUAUCGGAACGUGCCCAGUCGUGGGGGAUAACGCAGCGAAAGCUGUGCUAAUACCGCAUACGAUCUAAGGAUGAAAGCGGGGGAUCGCAAGACCUCGCGCGAUUGGAGCGGCCGAUAUCAGAUUAGCUAGUUGGUGGGGUAAAGGCCCACCAAGGCGACGAUCUGUAGCUGGUCUGAGAGGACGACCAGCCACACUGGAACUGAGACACGGUCCAGACUCCUACGGGAGGCAGCAGUGGGGAAUUUUGGACAAUGGGCGCAAGCCUGAUUCAGCAAUGCCGCGUGCAGGAUGAAGGCCUUCGGGUUGUAAACUGCUUUUGUACGGAACGAAACGGCCCUUUCUAAUACAGGGGGCUAAUGACGGUACCGUAAGAAUAAGCACCGGCUAACUACGUGCCAGCCGCCGCCGUAAGAC